rnacentral:rRNA from 1 species
AAACCAGCACCUCAAGUGGUCAGGAGGAUUAUUGGGCCUAAAGCAUCCGUAGCCUGUUCUGUAAGUUUUCGGUUAAAUCCAUUAGCUCAACUAAUGGGCCGCCGAAGAUACUGUAGAACUAGGGAGUGGGAGAGGUAGACGGUAUUCGGUAGGAAGGGGUAAAAUCCUUUGAUCUAUUGAGGACCACCUGUGGCGAAGGCGGUCUACCAGAACACGUUCGACGGUGAGGGAUGAAAGCUGGGAGCAAACCGGAUUAGAAACCCCAGUAGUCC